GAAUUGACGGGGGCCCGCACAAGCAGUGGAGUAUGUGGUUUAAUUCGAAGCAACGCGAAGAACCUUACCAGAUCUUGACAUCCAACUAGUCCUCUAGAAAUAGAGGAGUGCCCUUCGGGGAAAGUUGAGACAGGUGGUGCAUGGUUGUCGUCAGCUCGUGUCGUGAGAUGUUGGGUUAAGUCCCGCAACGAGCGCAACCCUUGUGAUUAGUUGCUACGCAAGAGCACUCCAAUCAGACUGCCGUUGACAAAACGGAGGAAGGUGGGGACGACGUCAAAUCAUCAUGCCCCUUAUGAUCUGGGCUACACACGUACUACAAUGGCCAUUAACAAAGGGAAGCAAAGCCGCGAGGCGGAGCAAAUCCCCAAAAAUGGUCUCAGUUCGGAUCGCAGGCUGCAACCCGCCUGCGUGAAGCUGGAAUUGCUAGUAAUCGCGGAUCAUCAUGCCGCGGUGAAUACGUUCCCGGGCCUUGUACACACCG
rnacentral:rRNA from 1 species